CUCUUAGACUUUAUACCUCAUAUAUGAUUUCAGUAGACACCCCCUGAGUUGAGGAUGUCUGGUUGAUAACCUCACUCUCUUCUCAGAAACAUGACUAACCCGGGGGAGGAAGACACAGAAAAGCAACAGCUCUGUCAUUGGCUGACAAGAUCCUGACAACAACACAACGAGAGCUGUACUCCUCCUUGCUAGUCUUUACUAGUAGCUGUUACUUCUGUUCUCUGGAAAUUCUUUAAACCUAGGAUCAGACACAAAAACUGAUUGGGUCCACAAUCCUCAUUUGUCCUUGAAGUAUGAGGCUGGUGGCAAAAGUAACUGUGUUUCUGACCUUUGGGACUAUAAUUGAUGCUAAGACCACUCAGCCCACCUCCAUGGAUUGUGCUGAAGGAAGAGCUGCAAACCUACCUUGUAAUCACUCUACCAUCGGUGGAAAUGAGUACAUACAUUGGUAUCGACAGAUUCACUCUCAGGGGCCACAGUAUGUCAUUCAUGGUCUAAAAAACAAUGAGACCAAUGAAAUGGCCUCUCUGAUCAUUGCAGAAGACAGAAAGUCCAGCACCUUGAUCCUGCCCCACGCUACGCUGAGCGACACUGCUGUGUACUAUUGCAUCGUGAGAGUCGCACAUUGGGACAGAUGGGGCUGCACCUGUGCAAUAUCUCCCUGGUGGCAAGGGAGGAGGAGGAUAGCAUUCAUCUGGAACGAAAUGUCGAUAGGAGUCAAAAAGUAACAAGAAAAUGGGAAAAGGAAGGGAAUGAGAGAAGGAAGAAAAAUAGGUAAAGUAAAUAAGGGAGAUAGGAUGAAGGGUAAAAAGACAGGAAUAAGAACUUUAUUUGUUGAUGUGGCUGAGAAAAAUGAAGAGACUGUAAAUUAUAAUUUGAGCAUAGCAAUAAAAUGAAGAAGCUUAAGAAUUUAGACGACUCCACUUCCUGUAAAAAAAAUAAAGUUCAUUUUAGUUUGUUAGUAAAAAUGAACAGGUAAGGAAAAUGAAAAUAAUUCUGCUUGUCCCAAAGGCUUUUUCAAUCUGGAUCUGGGGGCAAGUCCAAGCUUUGAAAUGCAUCCUAUUAUAGUUGUCCCAAUUACCAAAAACAAGUUGAUGUUUCUGAAAGAAAAAUCUGAAAUGUUCUUUGUUACUAGUGCAGUAACACUAGUUAUUAGAGCAUGCAUAUUUGUGAUGAAGGUUUUUCCCUUUGGAAAGAAACAAAAAUUA